rnacentral:rRNA from 1 species
GACGAACGCUGGCGGCGUGCUUAACACAUGCAAGUCGAACGGAAAGGCCCUGCUUGCCGGGUGCUCGAGUGGCGAACGGGUGAGUAACACGUGGGUGAUCUGCCCCUUACUCUGGGAUAAGCCUGGGAAACUGGGUCUAAUACUGGAUAGGACCAUGCUGUAGGUGGUGUGGUGGAAAGAUUAGUUUCGGUAAGGGAUGAGCUCGCGGCCUAUCAGCUUGUUGGUGGGGUAAUGGCCUACCAAGGCGUCGACGGGUAGCCGGCCUGAGAGGGUGGACGGCCACAUUGGGACUGAGAUACGGCCCAGACUCCUACGGGAGGCAGCAGUGGGGAAUAUUGCACAAUGGGCGCAAGCCUGAUGCAGCGACGCCGCGUGGGGGAUGACGGCCUUCGGGUUGUAAACUCCUUUCAGCCAUGACGAAGCCCUUGUGGUGACGGUAGUGGUAGAAGAAGCACCGGCUAACUACGUG